CCUACGGGUGGCAGCAGUAGGGAAUUUUCGUCAAUGGGCGCAAGCCUGAACGAGCAAUGCCGCGUGAACGAGGAAGGUCUUCGGAUCGUAAAGUUCUGUUAAAGGGGAGAAAGAGCGGAGAGAGGAAAUGGUCUCCGAUUGAUAUUACCCUUCGAGGAAGUACCGGCUAACUACGUGCCAGCAGCCGCGGUAAUACGGAGGUGGCGAGCGUUAUCCGGAAUGAUUGGGCGUAAAGGGGACGUAGGCGGCCUGGUAAGUCUGGUGUGAAAGGUACCGGCUCAACCGGGGAAAGGCUUGGGAAACUGGCGGGCUAGAGAGUCGGAAAGGGCGGUGGAACUCCAGGUGUAGCGGUAAAAUGCGUAGAGAUAUGGAAGAAUACCAGUGGCGAAGGCGGCCGCCUGGACUGUUACUGACGCUGAGGUACGAAAGCGUGGGGAGCAAAUAGGAUUAGAUACCCUAGUAGUC
rnacentral:rRNA from 1 species